GGCUCUGUAGGCUCAGUAGGUAGAGCAACGGAUUGAAGGCUCCGUGUGUCGCUGGUUCGAUUCCUGCCGGAGCCACCA
rnacentral:tRNA from 1 species